UCCUGCUCUUCUUCUCUGUUCUUCUUCCCUGCUAAAUAUCUAUGUGUUUCAAUCGAGAGAAUCAUUUAUUAUUGUAGUACAAACGAUGAUGAAGAUGGUGUGGUUCUGAUUUAGGAAGAAAAAUAAUUGAAGAUUGUUACAGAUUCGGGAUAGGUUUGAGAAGAUCGAAAUUAGGGUUUGGAAAGAAAUUGAAAGGUGAACUGGGUCGUUAAUGGAUGAAGAGAAGAGGGGUUGUUGUUGAUUUGAUGAGAUGAGGCUAUUCUGAUGAUGAAUCGAAAUCAGUUAGUCCUUUUUAACAACGAUCCAUGCAAAGGAUGAACCAAUGGAUUGUGGAUCUCUAAGUAGGCAUCGCUUGUCAUCAAUUCAGUUUUUUUUCCAGUAAUCUGAAGGAAUGGAGCACUCGAAGAUAUUCGUUUCGUAGCUAUGAACGUUAUUAAAUCUAGUGUUGUUGUGCAUCUUUUUCUAUAUGUAUUCUUUCUUAC